AUUGAACGCUGGCGGCAGGCUUAACACAUGCAAGUCGAGCGGGGUGAUGGUGCUUGCACUAUCACUUAGCGGCGGACGGGUGAGUAAUGCUUAGGAAUCUGCCUAUUAGUGGGGGACAACAUCUCGAAAGGGAUGCUAAUACCGCAUACGUCCUACGGGAGAAAGCAGGGGAUCACUUGUGACCUUGCGCUAAUAGAUGAGCCUAAGUCGGAUUAGCUAGUUGGUGGGGUAAAGGCCUACCAAGGCGACGAUCUGUAGCGGGUCUGAGAGGAGGAUCCGCCACACUGGGCAUGAGACCCGGCGCAGACUCCUGCUGGAGGCAGCAGUGGGGAAUAUUGUACAAUGGGGGGAACCCUGAUCCAGCCAUGCCGCGUGUGUGAAGGAGGCCUUAUGGUUGUAAAGCACUUUAAGCGAGGAUGAGGCUCUUUUGGUUAAUACCCAAGAUGAGUGGACGUUACUCGCAGAAUAAGCACCGGCUAACUCUGUGCCAGCAGCCGCGGUAA
rnacentral:rRNA from 1 species